rnacentral:piRNA from 1 species
GCCCUGAUAAUGAAGGAUGGCCUGCCGCAG